rnacentral:lncRNA from 1 species
GGAGAUUUGGGGGCAUUGGAAUGAAGGGUUUGGGAAUUUAGGAUGGGAGAUUUGAGAUGAAGGAUUUGGAAUUUGGGAUGAAGGAUUUGGGGGAUUUGGGAUGAAGGGUUUGGGAUUUUUGGAUCAAGGAUUUUGGGAUUUUGGAGGAAGGGUUUGGGGAUUUUUGGGAUAGGGAAUUUGGGAUAAAAGAUUUGGGGAUUUUGGACCAAGGAUUUGGGGAUUUGGGAUGAGGGAUUUGGGAAUUUGGAGUGAAGGAUUUGGGGAUUGGGAUGAAGGGUUUGGGAAAUUUUGGAUCAAAGAUUUGGGAAUUUGGAGUGAAGGAUUUGGGAUGGGGGAUUUGGGAAUUUGGGAUGAAGCAUUUGGGGGAUUUGGGAUUUGGGAUUUUUCGAUCAAGGAUUUUGGGAUUUUGGAGGAAGGGCUUGGGAAUUUGGGAUCAAAGAUUUGGGAACUUGAAGGAUUUGGGGAUUUUUGGGAUGAAGGAUUUGGGAAUUUUGGGAUGAAGGAUUUGGAAUUCAGGAUGAAUUUUGGGGUGAAUUUUGGGGUGAAGGAUUUGGGCUUUGGGAUGCAGGAUUUUGAGUUUGGGGUGACGGAUCUGGAAUUUGGGGUGAAUGAUUUGGAUUUUGGGAUGAAUUUUGGGGUGAAGGAUUUGGAAUUUGGGGUGAAAUUUGGG